rnacentral:rRNA from 1 species
AUUGAACGCUGGCGGCAUGCUUUACACAUGCAAGUCGAACGGCAGCGCGGGCUUCGGCCUGGCGGCGAGUGGCGAACGGGUGAGUAAUGCAUCGGAACGUGCCCAGUAGUGGGGGAUAGCCCGGCGAAAGCCGGAUUAAUACCGCAUACGACCUGAGGGUGCAAGCGGGGGACCGAAAGGCCUCGCGCUAGUGGAGCGGCCGAUGUCGGAUUAGCUAGUUGGUGGGGUAAAGGCUUACCAAGGCGACGAUCCGUAGCUGGUCUGAGAGGACGACCAGCCACACUGGGACUCAGACACGGCCCAGACUCCUACGGGAGGCAGCAGUGGGGAAUUUUGGACAAUGGGGGCAACCCUGAUCCAGCCAUGCCGCGUGCGGGAAGAAGGCCUUCGGGUUGUAAACCGCUUUUGUUCGGGAAGAAAUCCUCUGGGCUAAUACCCCGGGGGGAUGACGGUACCGGAAGAAUAAGCACCGGCUAACUACGUG